GUAGGCAGCUUCAGUCCUGGUAUGGGCUGUAGCAAGUACUGCUGCUGCUGUCCAUCCCUUCUGCCCACGAUGGACAAGUUUAUUGUGAAAUCAGGAGGUUUCAUAGGGAGCCACACAGAGGCAACCAUGGUCCAUCUUGUCACUGGGAUCCUAUUUAGGAUCAUUCACAGGGGGCAGAAGAAAAUGGAAAACAAAGACAAACAAACCAAAGAAGGCGGAUGAAGUAGAAGCCAUUCAUUCUUUCCAUGAACAUUGGCCCUAUAUCCUGAAGGUGGAUCCAAUGAAAAAAGAGAAGCAGCAAGGGUGGCUUCUGUUUCCCUGGCUGGACUCUGAGUAAUAUAGCAGCAAUAAUUUCCCAAGGGAAAGGAGGAAGACGGGUUGGCUCCAAUGAAGACACUUAUGAUGUGAAGAGUUCCCGUAACAGUUCACCAUCUCUGGGGCAGUUAUACAACAGGGAUCCCUGACUUCUUCAGAACCGAGAGUUCAAAUCAGGACUAUCUGGUGAUGAAUCUAUCCACUAGAAGCUGGUAUGAAGAGUCAGGUCACUAGAAAACAGAAUAUCAUGUGAUUGUGUUUGACUGCACAACUGGUCUCUAUCAAUAUCUAUGCCUGAAGAGGAAGAAUGUUUGCCUAGUAAGGCCAUUAAUAUUGGCAAAUCUUGCAUAGACAC
rnacentral:lncRNA from 1 species